rnacentral:misc_RNA from 1 species
GAUGAAGAACGCAGCGAAAUGCGAUACUUGGUGUGAAUUGCAGAAUCCCGUGAACCAUCGAGUCUUUGAACGCAAGUUGCGCCCGAAGCCAUUAGGCCGAGGGUACGCCUGCCUGGGCGUCACACGUCGUUGCCCCCCCAUCUACUCCUUCGGGAUUGCGGGGGGUGGAUGAUGGCCUCCCGUGCGCCUCGCCGCGCGGUUGGCAUAAAUGCCAAGUCCUCGGCGACGCACGCCACGACAAUCGGUGGUUGCGAAACCUCGGUUGCCCGUCGUGUGCGGUCGUCGCGCAUCGAGGGCUCGAAAAAAUUGCCGAGUUCCGGCUCGGCUUUCAACGCGACCCCAGGUCAGGCGGGGUUACCCGCUGAAUUUAAGCAUAUCAAUAAGCGGAGGA